UACCCGGUUGGACUUAAGCAUAUCAAUAAGCGGAGGAAAAGAAACCAACCGGGAUUGCCUCAGUAACGGCGAGUGAAGCGGCAAGAGCUCAAAUUUGAAAGCUGGCUCCUUCGGGGUCCGCAUUGUAAUUUGCAGAGGAUGCUUCGGGUGCGGCCCCUGUCUAAGUGCCCUGGAACGGGCCGUCAGAGAGGGUGAGAAUCCCGUCUGGGAUGGGGUGUCCGCGCCCGUGUGAAGCUCCUUCGACGAGUCGAGUUGUUUGGGAAUGCAGCUCUAAAUGGGUGGUAAAUUUCAUCUAAAGCUAAAUACUGGCCGGAGACCGAUAGCGCACAAGUAGAGUGAUCGAAAGAUGAAAAGCACUUUGAAAAGAGAGUUAAAAAGCACGUGAAAUUGUUGAAAGGGAAGCGCUUGCGACCAGACUCGCCUCCAGGGUUCAGCCGGCAUUCGUGCCGGUGUACUUCCCUGGGGGCGGGCCAGCGUCGGUUUGGGCGGCCGGUCAAAGGCUCCCGGAAUGUAGUGCCCUCCGGGGCACCUUAUAGCCGGGAGUGCAAUGCGGCCAGCCUGGACCGAGGAACGCGCUUCGGCACGGACGCUGGCAUAAUGGUCGUAAACGACCCGUCUUGAAAACCGGAACCA
rnacentral:rRNA from 1 species